CGUUAAACACCGGUUCCUGUGCGAUCAGAGAAGUUAAGCAAUGUUGAGCCUAGUCAGUACCUAGCUGGGUGACCGCUUGGGAAUGCCACAUGCUGUAG